rnacentral:rRNA from 1 species
GAUGAACGCUGGCGGCGUGCCUAAUACAUGCAAGUCGAGCGAACAGAUAAGGAGCUUGCUCCUUUGACGUUAGCGGCGGACGGGUGAGUAACACGUGGGUAACCUACCUAUAAGACUGGGAUAACUUCGGGAAACCGGAGCUAAUACCGGAUAACAUUUGGAACCGCAUGGUUCUAAAGUGAAAGAUGGUUUUGCUAUCACUUAUAGAUGGACCCGCGCCGUAUUAGCUAGUUGGUAAGGUAACGGCUUACCAAGGCGACGAUACGUAGCCGACCUGAGAGGGUGAUCGGCCACACUGGAACUGAGACACAGUCCAGACUCCUACGGGAGGCAGCAGUAGGGAAUCUUCCGCAAUGGGCGAAAGCCUGACGGAGCAACGCCGCGUGAGUGAUGAAGGGUUUCGGCUCGUAAAACUCUGUUAUUAGGGAAGAACAAAUGUGUAAGUAACUGUGCACGUCUUGACGGUACCUAAUCAGAAAGCCACGGCUAACUACGUG